AUUGAACGCUGGCGGCAUGCUUUACACAUGCAAGUCGAACGGUAACAGGCCGCAAGGUGCUGACGAGUGGCGAACGGGUGAGUAAUGCAUCGGAACGUGCCCAGUCGUGGGGGAUAACUACUCGAAAGAGUAGCUAAUACCGCAUACGAUCUAUGGAUGAAAGCGGGGGACCGUAAGGCCUCGCGCGAUUGGAGCGGCCGAUGUCGGAUUAGGUAGUUGGUGGGUAAAGGCUCACCAAGCCAACGAUCUGUAGCUGGUCUGAGAGGACGACCAGCCACACUGGGACUGAGACACGGCCCAGACUCCUACGGGAGGCAGCAGUGGGGAAUUUUGGACAAUGGGCGCAAGCCUGAUCCAGCAAUGCCGCGUGCAGGAAGAAGGCCUUCGGGUUGUAAACUGCUUUUGUACGGAACGAAACGGCUCUGGUUAAUACCCGGGGCUAAUGACGGUACCGUAAGAAUAAGCACCGGCUAACUACGUG
rnacentral:rRNA from 1 species